UCUGUCCCUGGAAUAAGGUUUGGUCCAGAACCAAUCCAAAGAUGAAGAUCCUUUAUCUGCUCUUCGCAGUCCUUUUUCUUACUUUCCUGCCUGAGCCAGGAAGUGCCAGGCAAGUACAAAAACAACGUAGGUGCUAUUGGCUUCGCUGUCGUUCUGGCUACAGUCAAAUUGGAAGAAGAUGCUGUCCCAAUGUUAAAGGAAAAUGAUGCAAUCUCUAUCCUGGAUAUCUCUGAGUUGUGGCCAACGACCUGUCACCACCGUCUGUUAUCGCUUUAGCUUCUCUUAUAUAAAUCAAAAUUGCUAUCUAUCGGACUCUAAAACAUGUAUACGUUGAAGCAAAAUUUGGCAUUUUUUUCUUAAAAUAAAGCUAAAUCAGCAUUGCAGAUGUUGUAUGCCUUCUUUUAGGGGAGCUCUGGGCAGUAUAAUUAAUCACUGUCAUGACUGUAUUUUGUGUGUGCAUGUUUGUGUGUGUCUGUGUUUACAUUUCAUUCUGGAAGACAUUCUUCACUAUUCAACCACAGAUUAUGACUUAAA